rnacentral:rRNA from 1 species
GACGGAAGGUGCAAGCGUUGCUCGGAAUCACUGGGCGUAAAGGGUGCGUAGGCGGCUUCUUAAGUCUGGUGUGAAAGCCCAGGGCUCAGCUCUGGAAGUGCACUAGAUACUGGGAAGCUUGAGUACCGGAGGGGAGAGUGGAAUUCCUGGUGUAGCGGUGAAAUGCGUAGAUAUCAGGAGGAAUACCGGUGGCGAAGGCGGGUCUCUGGGCCGAAAUUGACGCUGAGGAGCGAAAGCGUGGGGAGCAAACAGG